rnacentral:snoRNA from 1 species
ACCUUCCAGUCCUUACCCCUUGGAUCUAAACUUGGUCUGAGUGGCUGUAAAAGGAGGAAACGUAAAACUGAAGUAGACUUGGAUUCUUUAGUGAUACAAGUUCAUUUCAAACAAAC